GCCUUGUGGCUUAAUCGGAAAAACAAUCGAUUAUGUUGCGGUAGGAAUCGGGUUCGAGUCCCGAUGAAGGCA